rnacentral:rRNA from 1 species
CCCUUAGAUGUUCUGGGCCGCACGCGCGCUACACUGAUUCGCUCAACAAGUUUAUAACCUUGGUCGAGAGGCCUGGGUAAUCUUGCAAUCCGAAUCGUGCUGGGGAUUGGUCCUUGUAAUUCUUGACCAUGAACGAGGAAUUCCUAGUAAACGCGAGUCAUCAACUCGCAUUGAUUACGUCCCUGCCCUUUGUACACACCGCCCGUCGCACCUACCGAUUGAAUGGUCCGGUGAAUUCUUCGGAUAGCGGCUUGGCCCUCACCGGCUCGAGCUGCCAGAAGUUGAUUAAACCUUGCCAUUUAGAGGAAGGUGAAGUCGUAACA